UACGAAGGGGGCGAGCGUUGUUCGGAUUCAUUGGGCGUAAAGGGUGCGUAGGCGGCGCGGUAAGUCGGGUGUGAAAUCUCGGAGCUUAACUCCGAAACUGCAUUCGAUACUGCCGUGCUUGAGGACUGGAGAGGAGACUGGAAUUUACGGUGUAGCGGUGAAAUGCGUAGAUAUCGUAAGGAAGACCAGUGGCGAAGGCGGGUCUCUGGACAGUUCCUGACACUGAGACACGAAGGCCAGGGAGCAAACGGG
rnacentral:rRNA from 1 species